UCAGAGGCAGGCGGCGGGCGGGGAAGGCGCGGGGCGUGGUUUGCAGCUUUCCUACCGCCGAGGAGCGGAGCGCGCUCUGCUGCGUCCCGAGCCUUCAGCUGGACCGAAAAAGCGAGCGGGAGAAAGAGCAAAGGGCGCUACCGAGGCAGCAAGGCAAGCGGGGCGCCGACCUGGGCCGGCCCCAGCCCGCGCCCUCGCCCCUAGCCCGGCCAGUAGCGGGGGUUUGGAGGUGGCGGUAGGAGCAGAGAAAAAUAAGUGAAAUAAGUGAAUCUGGGAGACUGGACCUGCUUGUGUAUGACCCUGGGCUAGAGUACAACCAAAAUGGCCUCCAUGUGCUGAUAGGAUAAAACAGAAUUUACUGAAGUCCUGGUCUUGGGUAAUACUCCCAUGUGUGAAGGCAGAUUUGAACUGAUCAGACCCUCUCUGCUCUCUGUGGGUCCAUGGGAUAGGUGGUCAGCUUGUGGCCAUGGAAGAGAACGCGGUGAUUGUCCUUCAGGAGGAAGCCGACUCUCAGCGACCCCUCCCCCGCCUCCGGGCUCGUUGGCAUUGCCAGCCAGACUGGAGAGUGAUUACUACCCGGAAUACCUCCGUAACUGAACUGAAAGGGUAUAUAUAACUCCUAGAGCAGCGAGGAACUGGUUUUUCUUCAUUCCUGGUGUUUGAAAUAAUGCUUGAGAAGUGGUAAGAUGGUUGAGUUUGGUACUUUUGGGGACAGUGAGUCCUGCUUUUUGUAACAUUGCAAAACCACAGAUUUACCCACCUGGAAGGGCUCUUAGAGAACGUCUAGCUCCACCUUUAUGUUAUGGGUGAGAAGAGUAGGGUUCAAAUAUGUAAAAUGCAUUUUCUGCGCUUGGGCCAAAAGGAGGACUGGAACUCAGGUCUGCUAAACCCCUAGUCCAGGAAUAAUUCUGUGACGUGGCAUUGCCUCCUCACAAGACCAUUCAGCUUCCCAGACUAGACUUGCUGUGGCUCUGGUGCCCCAGGCCUGCGUGGGAAGUGCUGUCCUUCACUCGAUAACCAGCAGCAGCUGAUGUAUGCUAGUCCUUGCUUCUCUUACGCUGGGAGGGGAUAUUCAGGCCAGACUUGGUUAUAUUCUGGCUCAGAUGAGCCUGGGUCCUUAUUACUGCUGACCACUCACCGUUCCUGCCCUGCUGGACAUUAGUCUGGUGAUAUGACUCACGUAAUUAUUUGAUUUAAUCUGCCCAGAACAGAGCUGGAGCUCAGUGGUAACAAUAGCCAGGAAUCAAGGAAGGUGAGGAAACGUGUUUCCCUCUGGUCUCGGAGUCCAUAUUCUUAAGGAUCGAUUAUCUUGCUAACCCAUAUGCCUGAAACAUGCAAGCUGUACGUUAAUACUUUUUGGGUAAUUUAUUGACCAAUAAUAAAUGAACAGAGGUUAAACAAUAA